rnacentral:tRNA from 1 species
GGCGUGUUGGUGAAGUGGCUUAACACACUGCCCUUUCAAGGCAGCACUCGCUGGGUUCGAAUCCCGCACACGCCACCA